rnacentral:rRNA from 1 species
UGCAAGUCGAACGAACUCUUCGGAGUUAGUGGCGGACGGGUGAGUAACACGUGGGAACGUGCCUUUAGGUUCGGAAUAACUCAGGGAAACUUGUGCUAAUACCGAAUGUGCCCUUCGGGGGAAAGAUUUAUCGCCUUUAGAGCGGCCCGCGUCUGAUUAGCUUGUUGGUGGGGUAAUGGCCCACCAAGGCUACGAUCAGUAGCUGGUCUGAGAGGAUGACCAGCCACAUUGGGACUGAGACACGGCCCAAACUCCUACGGGAGGCAGCAGUGGGGAAUCUUGCGCAAUGGGCGAAAGCCUGACGCAGCCAUGCCGCGUGUAUGAUGAAGGUCUUAGGAUUGUAAAAUACUUUCACCGGUGAAGAUAAUGACUGUAGCCGGAGAAGAAGCCCCGGCUAACUUCGUGCCAGCAGCCGCGGUAAUACGAAGGGGGCUAGCGUUGCUCGGAAUUACUGGGCGUAAAGGGAGCGUAGGCGGACAUUUAAGUCAGAGGUGAAAUCCCGGAGCUUAACUUCGGAACUGCCUUUGAUACUGGGUGUCUUGAGUGUGAGAGAGGUAUGUGGAACUCCGAGUGUAGAGGUGAAAUUCGUAGAUAUUCGGAAGAACACCAGUGGCGAAGGCGACAUACUGGCUCAUUACUGACGCUGAGGCUCGAAAGCGUGGGGAGCAAACAGGAUUAGAUACCCUGGUAGUCG